rnacentral:lncRNA from 1 species
CUUUAGUUUGAAUAAACAACAAUGUAACCGUAGAAUCAGCCGAUCGAGGAACACAUUCAGUUUGGAUAAACAACACUACUUCGAGAUUGACUGGUUACUAUCCAAGUCUCGGUCAAAAAGGAUUCUAGAGUCCUUGUUGGUAGAGGUCAUCUCAUCAACCUUCUCGGUAAAGUGAGGUGUUACAGGUUACUAGGCUCAGCAUGUUGAAUGCUGAGUUUGUUUUAUGAUUGGGUAAUCGUAAUUACAUUUUAGAAUUUGGCAUUCCGACGACCAAACCACAUUUACCAUCAAGACAUUUAUCUUAUUCGAGACAUGUUCCAUAUAGACUGGUGCCAAUUCGGCGUGCUUAUACUCUCACAAAUAUAAUUACCGUGACCGAACAAGACGUCAACGAUUUGUGAACUUCGCAGAAUUAGCAGCCUUGUCUUCAGGCUCUAGAACCCAAAGGUUAAGACAUGUUCGUUCCUCAGUCGCAGUCGCAAGAUCAAGAAGUCACCACCACUCUCAAAGCAACAUUAGCAUAUUUUACUCCCCGAUCGAGCUCGGCCGUCGAGUUUGGAUGCCCUGCACAUAACCGAAUUACGUAGUUAAAUUAUUAGUUACUCGACCCGCACUCCACGUAGGCUUGGUAGUUUUUAAGGUCAACAAUAUGCCAAUGAUCUCAUGGCACAACUAACUGCAACCAAUAACCAUUUGCUGCUACAUUGUCUCAUCAUAAUACACAUCAGUUGCUUAUAAUCUUUCAGCAAC